rnacentral:tRNA from 1 species
GAUCAGGUGGCCGAGUGGUUAAGGCGAUGGACUGCUAACCAUUGGGGUUUCCCCGCGUGAGUUCGAAUCUCAUCCUGAUCG